rnacentral:rRNA from 1 species
GACGAACGCUGGCGGUGUGCUUAACACAUGCAAGUCGAACGGUAAGGCCCUUUCGGGGGUACACGAGUGGCGAACGGGUGAGUAACACGUGAGUAACCUGCCCUCAUCUCUGGGAUAACAGUCGGAAACGGUUGCUAAUACUGGAUAUGAGCUUGCAAGGCAUCUUGUGGGUUGGAAAGAUUUUUUUGGUUGGGGAUGGACUCGCGGCCUAUCAGCUUGUUGGUGAGGUAGUGGCUCACCAAGGCUUCGACGGGUAGCCGGCCUGCGAGGGCGACCGGCCACAUUGGGGCUGAGAUACGGCCCAAACUCCUACGGGAGGCAGCAGUGGGGAAUAUUGCACAAUGGACGGAAGUCUGAUGCAGCAACGCCGCGGGCGGGAUGACGGCCUUCGGGUUGUAAACCGCUUUCAAUUGUGACGAAGCUUUUUGUGACGGUAGCAGUAGAAGAAGCACCGGCUAACUACGUG